rnacentral:lncRNA from 1 species
UCUUGGAGAAAAUUUCAGAAACUAGAGCAAUCGUUCAAGCCAGAUGGCCAAUACUCUUACUACCACUUCAAUUUCAUAUAUUUAACCACUACGCACAACGUUUGAGUGCAUCCACAAUAAAUAAAAAUAUAAUAAUAAUCAGGUUUACUGAAGAUCAGGCCAACUUAUAUUCUAUUUGACUGUCUUGUUUUUCAACUCAUGCCUAUUAACAGUAUGAUGUGAGUGUGAAUUUACUGAAGCACAAGUCAAAACCUGGGAUCUGUGUUGUAACUGUGGGAACUGACAGACUCGCCAAAACUUGUACCGACUGAAAUUCAACUCUUUCUUCCUAAGCAGAUUCAGCAGUCCUGGAUAUUUUGAGGUUUCCACUUUCAAGCUUCUGCAAAGAUAUUCCCCAUGUCUGAAUAAUCGUGCUUCCCAUGCAACUGCAGAAUAUCAGCCUGGUGCAUUCUUCUGAACGGAAUGUCUGAGCCUCAAUGAGCCUUCUUUGGGAAAUAUGCACAGAACAAACUUUCACAGAACGACUAGCCGAGCAUGGGGCUUUUCCUCUCUGCUGAAUAAAAAAUAUACGGAAGUACCUUUCACCCAGAUGACAACAAGUAAAAUAGGAGACAUGGCAGAGAAGAAAAAACACUUUGUGUCUCUGUUAGUUGAGAGACGGAGGUUUACCAAGAAUCCACAG